AUUGAACGCUGGCGGCAGGCCUAACACAUGCAAGUCGAGCGGAUGAAGGGAGCUUGCUCCUGGAUUCAGCGGCGGACGGGUGAGUAAUGCCUAGGAAUCUGCCUGGUAGUGGGGGAUAACGUCCGGAAACGGGCGCUAAUACCGCAUACGUCCUGCGGGAGAAAGUGGGGGAUCGUCGGACCUCACGCUAUCAGAUGAGCCUAGGUCGGAUUAGCUAGUUGGUGGGGUAAAGGCCUACCAAGGCGACGAUCCGUAACUGGUCUGAUAGGAUGAUCAGUCACACUGGAACUGAGACACGGUCCAGAGUCCUACGGUAGGCAGCAGUGGGGAAUAUUAGACAAUGGGCGAAAGCCUGAUCCAGCCAUGCCGCGUGUGUGAAGAAGGUCUUCGGAUUGUAAAGCACUUUAAGUUGGGAGGAAGGGCAGUAAGUUAAUACCUUGCUGUUUUGACGUUACCAACAGAAUAAGCACCGGCUAACUUCGUG
rnacentral:rRNA from 1 species